rnacentral:lncRNA from 1 species
CUGGCUGCUAUAAACGAUUCUGGGGUAUUCACUGGUAAAGGUGGUGUGUUCUCCACCACAUUGAGGUAAUGAGGUAAAAUUGUAGCUGCAUCUUGUUCACCUUUAACAUUAACAGACUGUUGUUCAGAUGACAAAAUAUCACUGCCUUUUGUCUUACUCAGUUCUUGGCUUGAAAUCUGUUCAUUUUCAGUUGCUGUUUCACUGCUCGCUUGUAAUGAUGUCUGCACAUCAACAGGUCCUUCCUCAAAUUCUAUUUCUUCGUCUUCAUUCUCAUCUUCUCCACUGCCAUAAUUAGUGAGAGCUUGGGUUUCUGCUUUUGAUAAACUUAUUGCCACUGGGCCACUUUCACUUUCUUCAUCUUCCUCUUGGUCAGAAGCAUCAGACUUGAUACUUUCAGGAACUUCAUUACCAUCAUACGUUUCUAAGCCCUGUACUGGUUUGACAGUUUCAGUCUCAUCCUUGUCCUCUUUAGCAUAAGACUGUAUCUCUUCAGUAGUUUCUAUUUUGCGUUUACACCUCUGCUUUACAGAAAUACUGUUAUUGUCCAAGUCUUGCAUGAGUUUAAAAAAGGCUAAUUCAUUAAAUAAUACUUCAGAAAUCUCCACAAGAAGAUCUUCCCCACAAUCUUUUAAUUUUCUACCAGCAAAUUUUGCCAGGGAAUCCUGUGAAGAGAAAUAAAUCUUCAGUUUCUGAGACAAGCUUUCACACUUC